rnacentral:sRNA from 1 species
CUCUCUUGGUCAUUUUAGAGGAAGUAAAAGUCGUAACAAGGUCUCCGUUGGUGAACCAGCGGAGGGAUCAUUACCGAGUUGACAACUCCCAAACCCCUGUGAACAUACCUUAUGUUGCCUCGGCGGAUCAGCCCGCGCCCCGUAAAAAGGGACGGCCCGCCGCAGGAACCCUAAACUCUGUUUUUAGUGGAACUUCUGAGUAUAAAAAACAAAUAAAUCAAAACUUUCAACAACGGAUCUCUUGGUUCUGGCAUCGAUGAAGAACGCAGCAAAAUGCGAUAAGUAAUGUGAAUUGCAGAAUUCAGUGAAUCAUCGAAUCUUUGAACGCACAUUGCGCCCGCCAGUAUUCUGGCGGGCAUGCCUGUUCGAGCGUCAUUUCAACCCUCAAGCCCAGCUUGGUGUUGGGAGCUGCAGUCCUGCUGCACUCCCCAAAUACAUUGGCGGUCACGUCGAGCUUCCAUAGCGUAGUAAUUUACAUAUCGUUAGGGGUAAUCGUCGCGGCCACGCCGUUAAACCCCAACUUCUGAAUGUUGACCUCGGAUCAGGUAGGAAUACCCGCUGAACUUAAGCAUAUCAAUAAGCGGAGGAA